rnacentral:lncRNA from 1 species
AUUAAACUCUUUGAAUCUCCAAACAAGGAAGUUUCAGCAUUCCCUUAUGGAUCAGAGGAACCUUAGAGGCCUGAAAUUGUUGCUUCCAGUUUAGCUGCCCCUCAAAUUCAAGUGAAUAUUUUCCCUUCUCCCUUUACCCUUCUCCAGAAAUAAAGCAGGUGACAGGGUUUUCAGAAUCUUACCAUAUUGACUUGUGUAUCUUUUUUAAAAAAUAAUUUGUGAUAUUUAUUGCAUACAUUUUCUUUUGGCAGUUUUGGAUUUUAGGUAUUUUUUUGCAUGAGGCUGAUAAUGGUGAUGAUGACUUUAUACCCUUGGUACUAUACUAGGAACUUUACAUAGUAUCUCUACUUCUCACAGUCUUGCAAAGUAGGUGAUAUUAUUCCCAUUUUAUAGUUGAGAAAACGGAAUUAGUGACUGUACCUAUAACACCAGUAAAUGCAGAGCCAAGAUUCUGACCCAGGUCUUUUUGUUGUACCAUAAGUUUAAAAGAUGAGUCUCAUUUUUCUUGUGGUAGAUGGUGGUAAAAAGGAGUAGGCAGAGUGUACAUAGAUAAAAAAAAGUAAAAGGGUAAGUAAAAAAUUGAUUGUGGUAUAUGUUAUUCUAAUCAGCCAAAAAAGUUUAGAAGAUUGAUGAAAUGAUCUUUUAAAUAUGUAUUUCUGAAUAAAAUGUAAAACCAAGAAAGUUAUUUCAGGAAGGAUAGUGACCCUUUCCUUGAACUGUUAGAAGGGCAUUUAUUAGGCUAAAACGUCAUUAACAAAAUGCAUUGCAUGUUGAAACCAGCCUCUUGAACCAUAAGCACUUAGCGACUUUGCUCUGCCCUGUACUGUGCUGCUUCUGCUGUCAUCCUGUGUGCCUACAGAAGCCUGGUCUUCCGUCCAUGCAGAAAUGCUUAUGUCCUCCUGUUGUUUAGAUGACUCCUAUUGUUCAGGUGUACUCUGAGAAGAGAAUCACGUUUUUCUGUUUUGCUAAGGAGAAAACCUUGCUGCUUGUCUCUCCUCCCACCCUCCACCAUCCAAAAUUAACCAGUGAGCUGGAUAUUACCUGGAUAUUGCCAGGAGGUGGGCAUUAAGACAGUAUUCUUUAAAAGUGAAAAUCUUGUGAGGCAAACUGCUAAAUUCACAUUUUUGUUUUUUUUUUUUUACCAUCUUCCCUAGGAAUAUUCCUAGAAAGCAUCUGCUUAAUUUUGCUGCUAACAGCUAACCUUAUCCCACGUUGAGGGUGGUAUUAAAACUGUUCACACAGAGUGAGCCUGGGUCAGUCAAAAACAGAAUUUGGGCAUUUGAGUGAUAACAGACAACCUAAGGACAAUGAGCACUUUGCAGAUCUCUACAAUUAAAAGUUGCCUCUUUGAGGCAGGAGGGGAGAAGCACAGUCCCUGCCAGGUUGCCUGAACUAAAGAUGCCAUGGAGCAGGAGUGUCUUGGUGCAUUGUUCCCCGCUUAGGAGUACCUUUAAAAAGGGGGUGAAAUAAAUUUGGCUUAAUAAUUGU